GAUGUUUACACACUCUGAAACCAUUGACUACACCCCACCUAUCAAAAGCAAAACUGCAAGAGAAAAAUAUAAACAAACAAUACUUCGAGAAAUACCAGAAAUCCUUUUCCUGGACCACUACAAAGAUGGAAGGUCCAGCAAUUUAAUCUUCUGGACUGAUGAACCAUAUGCCUGGCUGAAUGUGUUCAGCUCUCAUUACCCAGCAAUAAAGAGAGCAGGCAUUUGUAAUGGAUGGAAAAUAUGUGUACUGGAAGAAAAUUUCUGACACCAGCAGAAUAAACCUAUUCAAAAAUGGAACUGCCAUGAUACAAGGUAACCUGAGACAGUCUGAGCUAGACUUUCCUGCUAUGAGACUGAGGAGGUCCUGUUCUGUCCCUGCUCCUGACAGACGCUGACACAGAUCAUCCCCUGGUACAGCACUUUGAGGACCUGGACGAGAGAAUACUUCUCCCAGAUGGAUAUAGACCUGGUACAGAUCAGAGAGCAGCUGGACCAACAGCAGCCUACUUCUCCUACUGUCAGUGACUUCCAGGCCAAGAAAGAACAGGACAAUGUCAACUCACAGCUGAGAGAGUUUCAACAAGAACUAGCUCAGAGAAGACAGCUGGAUCAUCUCAGUGAGGAGGUGAAGGAACUUAGGAAGGACAGAGACAACUGCAGAACUGAGUUGGCUAUACUGAGAGAAGAGCUACCGGACAGGGACAGGCUAAGUCUACAAGCCAGACUGAACUCCACACAACCCCCUGUGCUCGCCUCUCAGAUCCAGACCACAUCCAGCCAAACUCCCACUACACCUGCUGACGGAGAAAACAGCCUUUUCCUCGAAGACCCCUCCCCCUCUCACCCAGCCUGGUGCAGACUCUAAUCCUCCCCCUGUACCAUUAAGCUGCCUCAAUACACAUCCCAAGCCAAGAUGCCAGUCACAACCUUGCACCCGUCCAAGGCCCAGCCUCUAGCCAGCCUCCAGCCAGGAGCUCCAGACCUGAAACCACCACCACAGCUCCACAUCCAGACCCGACAGCUGAGUCUGAACAAACACACACAGGCAGAAGGGCUGACAUUAUCCUCCUCAUGGACUCUAACAGAAAGUUCCUGGAUGAAAAGACCUUAUUCCAAAGACAGAGAAGAUCUGGUGCCCCAAUACCAGGAGAGCCCUGGAGCUGUUAACAGUGCCUGAGCUAGGCUUACCUAGCCACAUCAUUAUUCAUACAGGCACCGACGACUUAAGGUCCCAACAGGACAGACUAGCAGAAUCCCUGAGGAGAGUCACUGAACAAGCCUCCACCAAUUUCCCUACCAGCAAGAUAGUCAUCUACGCUGCUGCACAGGAGAGACUUCCACCCCGACACCAUUCACAGAGUGAAUAUCAGCCUCUCCAGGAACUAUGCCCUCAAACCCAACGUGUUCUUGGCCCACCAUCCGACCCUCCACUUGGACUGCCUGUAUGAUAACACACCUACACAGAAAUGCAGUCCCCACCCUUGCUAGGACCCUGAAGGAUGUUGCUCUUGGAAGGAGCCUCACUACCACUCCAAGGGGUAACCACACAACGCAGACCUCCAGGACCUCUUAGACCUUCAAGACCAUCCAGACCUCCACCAUGCAUCUACCCCUGGCUGUCAGAGAGGACAGCCUAUUGGACUGAACUAUGCUGCAGCGGUGAGGCGAGCCACAGCCCUGCCCCCCCUCUGGUCAAAAACGCCAUCCCAAAAGCUGCCGAAAAGAAACUGCACGAUCUGGAGCCAGGGAACUGGAUCAUGGUGAAGGACUUCAGGAGAAAGAAUUAGUGGGCUCGCAGGUGGACUGGGCCAUUUCAGAUACUGCUAAGAACAGAAACAGCAGUAAAGGUGGCUGAAAGAGCAACUUGGAUUCAUGCCACCCACUGCAAACGAGUGCCAAAGCAACCAAAAGGCCUCAGACCAGGUGAAGAUGGAGAUCAGUGAGUGAGACCUCUGCUGCCUCGUGCCCCCUCGCCUCGCCAGUCACACUCCUGGAUCCACAAGCUCUUUAGCUUCCCAGCCUGGUCUUCCCUACCCUUGCCUAGUUAUUGUUUUUGUUAUCAAGAAUAAACCCUUUUUUU